rnacentral:tRNA from 1 species
GGGGGCUCAGUGGUAGAGCGCUUGCCUCGCAUGCAUGAAGCCCUGGGUUCGAUUCCUUAGCACCA